rnacentral:tRNA from 1 species
GUGUUAAUAGUUUAAAAAUAAAAACAUUAAUUUUGUAAAUUAAUAUCAGAGCAAUCUUUAAUACA